rnacentral:lncRNA from 1 species
AUUAAAGUAAUAUGAAAUAACUGUCAUUCUCCAAGCUAGAGUUAACAAAGAAUAAUUUUUAUAUAUUUUUUAUUCAACACUCUACCUCACGGUUAGGCUGUUUGGGCUCAAAACUUUUAAUAGGCUCAACAUUUGACUUAAAGUAAAUGGGAGAAAAAUGAAGGACUAUUUUGUAUUGAGGUUUAUAUAAAGCUAAUAGGCAAAAUAGAGUUACGACGAAAGUAUAUAGAGAUAUGCUUGUCAUUUUUUCGAUAGGAUCAUAAAAAAUAUAUUAUAACCGACUCAUUGCGAUAAUACAACAAUCUCUCCGUAAUUCUAAAUAGAGUCCUAGAUGAGACCAUGGGUCACGACCUCAUAUUCUAAUAUAUGUUAAAGAUUAUGAAAUAAUUAAUUUUAUUUAAAAGCUUAAACUAUUAGAAAAUUGUAUUACAUAUUUUCAUAUUCAACAGAUGGUAUUAUUAAAAAAAUUACUCUUAUUUUAAC